UCUCCUGGAAACGGGUGGUAAUGCCGGAUGUUCCACAUGAUCGCAUGUGAUUGUGGGAAAGAUUCUAUCGGCGUGGGAUGGGGUCGCGUCCUAUCAGCUUGUUGGUGAGGUAACGGCUCACCAAGGCUUCGACGGGUAGCCGGCCUGAGAGGGCGACCGGCCACAUUGGGACUGAGAUACGGCCCAGACUCCUACGGGAGGCAGCAGUGGGGAAUAUUGCACAAUGGGCGCAAGCCUGAUGCAGCGACGCCGCGUGAGGGAUGGAGGCCUUCGGGUUGUAAACCUCUUUUGUUUGGGAGCAAGCCUUCGGGUGAGUGUACCUUUCGAAUAAGCGCCGGCUAACUACGUGCCAGCAGCCGCGGUAAUACGUAGGGCGCAAGCGUUAUCCGGAUUUAUUGGGCGUAAAGGGCUCGUAGGCGGCUCGUCGCGUCCGGUGUGAAAGUCCAUCGCUUAACGGUGGAUCUGCGCCGGGUACGGGCGGGCUGGAGUGCGGUAGGGGAGACUGGAAUUCCCGGUGUAACGGUGGAAUGUGUAGAUAUCGGGAA
rnacentral:rRNA from 1 species